rnacentral:rRNA from 1 species
GAUGAACGCUGGCGGCGUGCUUAACACAUGCAAGUCGAACGAUGAAGCCCAGCUUGCUGGGUGGAUUAGUGGCGAACGGGUGAGUAACACGUGAGUAACCUGCCCUUGACUCUGGGAUAAGCCUGGGAAACUGGGUCUAAUACUGGAUAUGACUUCUCAUCGCAUGGUGGGGGGUGGAAAGAUUUAUUGGUCUUGGAUGGACUCGCGGCCUAUCAGCUUGUUGGUGAGGUAAUGGCUCACCAAGGCGACGACGGGUAGCCGGCCUGAGAGGGUGACCGGCCACACUGGGACUGAGACACGGCCCAGACUCGUACGGGAGGCAGCAGUGGGGAAUAUUGCACAAUGGGCGCAAGCCUGAUGCAGCGACGCCGCGUGAGGGAUGACGGCCUUCGGGUUGUAAACCUCUUUCAGUAGGGAAGAAGCGAGAGUGACGGUACCUGCAGAAGAAGCGCCGGCUAACUACGUG